UUUCUCAGUGCUGCCUCAGCUUCGUUUGAUGCAGAAUGCAAAGACGGUUGAACCAUUUACAGCCCAUUAUGUUUUUGCUUUGGAUGUUGAACGAUUCUUGGGUUGUGCUUACUGGAUCAUUCGAGUCAUUGAGACUAGUUGGAAGAUAUCUAUAAUUGAUAGGAGCUGGGUACAUAUGGAUACUGAUGAUGCUUCUUGCAGAAAUCAUUCAGACCUUUAUAUUGGCUGAUUUCUAUUACUACAAUGUCAAGAGUGUCAUGGAAGGCCAACUUUUGGUGAGUCUGUCUUCACCCGUAUAGAAGAUCGAUACGUACAAUCUGGUCUAUCUUCUCAACAAUUACCAAAUACCAAUUUAGAUUUACAUAAGCUGUUUUUAGUUUCAGAAAGCAUAAUUGAAGCAUUUUCUUAAUUAAGUAGACAUUUAUUUCCCUUGGUUUAAAAGCAGUUAUGUAAUGUUGUAGAUUUUAUAGAUGGCUGAUGAGGAUUUU